rnacentral:rRNA from 1 species
GUCCUUUUGAAUUUAAUUUAAGGUCUGGCCUGCCCAGUGAUUAAUUUAACGGCCGCGGUAUAUUGACCGUGCAAAGGUAGCAUAAUCAUUAGUCUUUUAAUAGAGGGCUGGAAUGAAAGGUUUAACGAGGAACUGACUGUCUCAUUUUAUUUGUAUUAAAAUUUAAUUUUUUAGUUAAAAAGCUAAAAUUUAAUUGGAAGACGAGAAGACCCUAUAGAUCUUUAUAUAGCCUAUUAAAUUUGUAACAUAUUAAUACAUUUUAUGAAAGCUGUAUUUUGUUGGGGUGACAAAAAUAUAAAACUAACUUUUUUAUCAAUUAACCAUUAAUUUAUGAAAAUUAGAUCCACUCUUAGUGAUUAUUAGACUAAGUUACCUUAGGGAUAACAGCGUAAUCCUCUUCCAGAGUUCAUAUUUACAAGGGGGCUUGCGACCUCGAUGUUGGAUUAAGAUAAUAAUUAGGUGUAGUCGCUUAAUAUAUAGGUCUGUUCGACCUUUAAAUUCUU